GUAAUGUGCUGUUAUGCCCGUUGUAUUUUAAUUUUAAUUUUACAGUUAGCUUAAACUAACUUAAAAUAUAAUUUCGGUUUUAUUUUUAAAUUAUUCGAAUGUAAAAGCUUUGUAGCAGUUUGUUUGGGGAAAUUUCAGCGAAGAUUCCAACCACGCCCAGGAGGCUGCUUCGCUUGUGGUCGUUGAGGUUUUUUUUACCAGGACCUCUCGCCAGUAGCCCUAGUUAUACCUGGUUACUUAGCCCGCUAAGCAGCGAUCAACACCACCCAACGGUGCUAAGUGUUCGAAGCGCCGAGAUCGCGAAACACGCACAAUACACACGAUUAGGAACUGAAAUCUGGACUGACCGUCUCAUAAACUGAACUUACACCUCCCAACACACCAUCGUUAUACGUGGCUUACCGCGUUAAGAGGCGUACUGUGAGAAAUUUGACACAGGACACAAGAAAUUGGACACGGCACACACUUCUGACCUGACAUUGGCUGAUCCAAUAAAUUUAGAUAUAAAAAUUGUAAAAGGGGGGUGAGCUGUAGCACCUAACCAUUCGCAUCACAUUUGUUUGUAUGUGUUUGUUUGUUAGUGUGUUAUGUGUUUGUACAUGUUUCUUAGUGUGUUAAUGUAAAAUGAAGUGUGAAAC